CCUACGGGUGGCAGCAGUGAGGCAUAUUGGUCAAUGGGCGCGAGCCUGAACCAGCCAAGUAACGUGAAGGAUGACUGCCCUACGGGUUGUAAACUUCUUUUAUAAAGGAUUAAAGUGAGGCCCGUGUGCCUUUUUGUAUGUACUUUAUGAAUAAGGAUCGGCUAAAUACGUGCCCGCAGCCGCGGUAAUACGGAGGAUCCGAGCGUUAUCCGGAAUUAUUGGGUUUAAAGGGAGCGUAGAUGGGUUGUUAAGUCAGUCGUGAAAGUUUGCGGCUCAACCGUAAAAUUGCAAUUGAUACUGGCAGUCUUGAGUACAGUAGAGGUAGGCGGAAUUCGUGGUGUAGCGGUGAAAUGCUUAGAUAUCACGAAGAACUCCGAUUGCGAAGGCAGCUUACUAAACUGCCACUGACAUUGAUGCUCGAAAGUGUGGGUAUCAAACAGGAUUAGAUACCCGUGUAGUC
rnacentral:rRNA from 1 species